rnacentral:rRNA from 1 species
GAUGAACGCUGGCGGCGUGCCUAAUACAUGCAAGUCGAACGAGCGAGAGAGAGCUUGCUUUCUCGAGCGAGUGGCGAACGGGUGAGUAACGCGUGAGGAACCUGCCUCAAAGAGGGGGACAACAGUUGGAAACGACUGCUAAUACCGCAUAAGCCCACAGCUCGGCAUCGAGCAGAGGGAAAGGGAGUGAUCCGCUUUGAGAUGGCCUCGCGUCCGAUUAGCUAGUUGGUGAGGUAACGGCCCACCAAGGCGACGAUCGGUAGCCGGACUGAGAGGUUGAACGGCCACAUUGGGACUGAGACACGGCCCAG